UUACAUGGGGAAUUUUUUUCCUCAAAAUAUGGGUUUGGAAGAGGAAUUAGUCAACAGAAAUUGUAUUUCCAUUGAUAUGCAAAACUAAAAUAAUAAUGUUAUGGUAUAUAAGUGAUAAAAAGGUGCCAUAAACCAGCAACGGUCAGCCACCCCAAGCAAAGAAAUCUCAAAAAUAACGAUAAAAUACAUUCACCUCUCAAUAUCAAGCUUAAAAAGGAAAUCACACACAGCGAUAGAAGAAAAAAUCACUACUUUUAGCUACAAAAAAACCUAUCAAAAACAAAGAGAGAAAGCAGAGUGUAAGAACUAAAACGAGAGAAAAUUUGUGUGAGACAUUAAAAGAUUGAGGGUGACAUAGAGAGAGAGAGCGGGAGUGAGAAGGAAGGAGCAUCAAAAACAUUCACUUAUUGACCGUGACAAUGGCAUUUGUAUGAUGCCUGCUUUUCAGCACCAUGCCGCCAUAUAGAAACGUACAUAUACAUAUGUAUUUAUUUGUAAAUGCUUAUUCCUAUGUGACACGGUUGUGCUUUGGUGAAUAUUCAAGCUUAUGGUGUAUGUGUGUGUGUGAUCUUUAAUUAGUAUUUAAAUACAUUGCAAAGGAACACAAAACAUCGAAUGGUCUUGAGCCAAAAUAUACUUAGCAAAGAAAUUAAAUUUCCCCAAAAAUAAACUAAAAAAAAAUUAAAUUUUUUGAAGCAUGAUGCAAUAAAUUAGACAACUUCAAGCAUUACAUUUAAAUUAAAUGCAAAUGCAAAAGUGGUCUCAACGCAAUUGACGUAGAGGUUUCGUAAUUAAUUGUUAAUCUCUGGUACAUAUUAGUUGAGUUUUUUUUUCUCUCUCAUAACGAAAGUUGAUGAGAGAGAGAAAGAAAGUUUCAGAAUAUAUGUUUGAAUGUCUAUUAACACAUACAGGCGGCUAUGACUACAAAAAUACUGAGGUAGAUAUCGUAAAUAUUUUUUAAGCUUUAAAAAAUGCAAAAUAAACACUUCAAAAGAGAUUUAUUCAAAAUCGGUCAUAGCUUGAAGACGUCACAAACUUGAUGACAAAUGCCCACCACUGCGUAUGACGCAUUUUAAUUGAGAUGGACAAGAAAAUAAUGAUCAUACGCCAAGAGGGCCUAAUGAAGGAAUACAUAAAAGAUUUAAGGAAAUGUAA